GUCUACACAUGCAGUCGACGGUARCAGGAAGCWKSUUGCUGCUUYKCUGACGAGUGGSGGRCGGGWGAGYAAUGWCUGGGAAACUGCCUGAUGGAGGGGGAUAACUACUGRAAACGGWARCUAAUACCGCAUAACGKCRCAAGACCARRGAGGGGGACCUUCGGGCCUCUUGCCAUCGGAUGUGCCCAGAUGGGAUUAGCUAGUAGGUGGGGUAACGGCUCRCCUAGGCGACGAUCCCUAGCUGGACUGAGAGGAUGACCAGCCACACUGGAACUGAGACACGGCCCAGACUCCUACGGGAGGCAGCAGUGGGGAAUAUUGCACAAUGGGCGCAAGCCUGAUGCAGCCAUGCCGCGUGUAUGAAGAAGGCCUUCGGGUUGUAAAGUACUUUCAGCGGGGAGGAAGGCGAUAAGGUUAAUAACCUUGUCGAUUGACGUUACCCGCAGAASAAGCACCGGCUAACUCCGUGCCAGCAGCCGCGGUAAUACGGAGGGUGCAAGCGUUAAUCGGAAUUACUGGGCGUAAAGCGCACGCAGGCGGUCUGUCAAGUCGGAUGUGAAAUCCCCGGGCUCAACCUGGGAACUGCAUUCGAAACUGGCAGGCUAGAGUCUUGUAGAGGGGGGUAGAAUUCCAGGUGUAGCGGUGAAAUGCGUAGAGAUCUGGAGGAAUACCGGAGGCGAAGGCGGCCCCCUGGACAAAGACUGACGCUCAGGUGCGAAAGCGUGGGGAGCAAACAGGAUUASAUACCCUGSYAGUCCACRCCGUAAACGAUGUCGACUUGGAGGUUGUGCCCWUGAKGCGUGGCUUCCKGAGCUAACGCGUUAASYCSAYCGCCUGGGG
rnacentral:rRNA from 1 species